rnacentral:lncRNA from 10 species
ACUUUCUUCAGGGCUAUCAGAUGAAGGCAGCAACGAAAACACCACCACAAGACCAACUUCAGGCUGGAGCUGAUGAUGCCACACAGAAAAUAGACUCUACUUAGAAAUGAAACUCAACUAAAGGUAAAAGUUGUCAGGAACAUCUCCAAGAAAGCCAGAGUCAGCCUCUAAACUUUGCAUCAAGAACGCAAUGGCUUCCCUGAGGGCCCAGGGACGCGUGGCAGCUGUGAGGCAGCCCCUUCUCUGCUGUCGAGGAACUGGACACUUCUCCUGUCCCUUCCCACAAGGUAUAAUAUUAGGCAGAAACCCAAUAUAAAAAGAAAAGCAGAGUUGUUGUAGAUUCAUCGAGGGUUGGCGACCUGGUUCCAAUGAGCCAUCUCCCUGUUCCGACAGGGGCUUCCUGGAGCUCCUGCAACCCCAGGCAUUAGUUCCGGUGCAGUUCUAGGAUCAGAUCAAUUCACUCGACAACAAGAGAAACAAAUGGAGAUUCCUACACAAAGACUUUCAAGCACAAAGAAAUCCUGCUGCCUGUAAAGCGGAGCUGCCUCAGCCCUUGAUGAACGACAGAAAAUACCACCUACUGCCAGACCUCAACGCCUCACAAAACUCUCACCCACCUACUGCUUUUAGCUCACAUUCCAGGAAUUCAGAUGAAGUGAAGUGCUCUCAUGGGGACCAGGCAUGGUUAUGCCAGUCCACUGCCCUGCAAGCCUCAAGGGAAGCCAACUGCCCUUCAGCAAGUCACACCUGCCUUGGUGGAGGCCUUGAUUGGAAGUGCCACACGCUACAUGUCCAGUCCUGAGCGGGAGAAUCGGUGUAGGGACGUUCUGGGGAUGCCAGCUGUGGCCAGAUCAGGUCCA